AAGUCGAGCGAACAGACGAGGAGCUUGCUCCUCUGACGUUAGCGGNGGACGGGUGAGUAACACGUGGAUAACCUACCUAUAAGACUGGGAUAACUUCGGGAAACCGGAGCUAAUACCGGAUAACAUGUUGAACCGCAUGGUUCAACAGUGAAAGACGGUCUUGCUGUCACUUAUAGAUGGAUCCGCGCCGCAUUAGCUAGUUGGUAAGGUAACGGCUUACCAAGGCAACGAUGCGUAGCCGACCUGAGAGGGUGAUCGGCCACACUGGAACUGAGACACGGUCCAGACUCCUACGGGAGGCAGCAGUAGGGAAUCUUCCGCAAUGGGCGAAAGCCUGACGGAGCAACGCCGCGUGAGUGAAGAAGGUCUUCGGAUCGUAAAACUCUGUUAUUAGGGAAGAACAAAUGUGUAAGUAACUAUGCACGUCUUGACGGUACCUAAUCAGAAAGCCACGGCUAACUACGUGCCAGCAGCCGCGGUAAUACGUAGGUGGCAAGCGUUAUCCGGAAUUAUUGGGCGUAAAGCGCGCGUAGGCGGUUUUUUAAGUCUGAUGUGAAAGCCCACGGCUCAACCGUGGAGGGUCAUUGGAAACUGGAAAACUUGAGUGCAGAAGAGGAAAGUGGAAUUCCAUGUGUAGCGGUGAAAUGCGCAGAGAUAUGGAGGAACACCAGUGGCGAAGGCGACUUUCUGGUCUGUAACUGACGCUGAUGUGCGAAAGCGUGGGGAUCAAACAGGAUUAGAUACCCUGGUAGUCCACGCCGUAAACGAUGAGUGCUAAGUGUU
rnacentral:rRNA from 1 species